GGCCCGCGGGCCCGGGCGGGGCUGGGCUCGCCCCGCGUCCCCUCAAGCUUUGCCCGCCCGGAGCUGCGCUGCUCCCGGCGGCCAGAACCGAGGGGCAGAGCAGCCCUCGGCGGCCCUGGGGGGCGGGCGGCCGUGCCCGUCCCGGGGCCGGCGAGGCACAGACACGGCGCCGAGGCGCGGGGACGGGGGUUCCCGCGGGCGGGCCCCGGCGCGGUAACAACUUUGCGCUUUGCUUCUCCAGGGCGCAGCCGGGGCUGCUUUGUAGGGGUCCGGCCGCUCUGCCUGCGGGGGCUCUUCGCGGACCGACCUUGGGCCUGGGGAGUUUGUCGCCAACGUCUGCGGGGUGCAGCGGCCUAAAUUUCAAGCGCUGGUUGAAAACUACAGAUAGAAGCCAUUGAAGCUGGAAUGCUGUGGUGCUGGUAUUUUAACUGAUCUGUCACUCUACAGUUUAUAACACAAAUGUAUAACUUGUAGCAACCAUCUGUCCAUGCACCUUCACAGGAGUUAGAGCAGAAACACAAUACUUGUGAAGAGCAGUGUGACAGUUGCUUUAUUUUCAUCUUAAUUCUCACAACUCUUUGAAGUCACUGCUAUUCUCAUUUUACAGGUAAAGCAACAGGAUAGUGCAUGACUUGAUUUCCUGUCACAUUUAUAACCCUGAAUAAGCUUCAUAUGUAACUUUUUGGAUGUGACUGCUGGAAAGUCACUUAUCUCUUGAGAUUUGGUAUCCUGGUAUGACAAAUAUUUAAACAGAUUAAGUCAGCUUUUGGAGGGAAAGACUGUAGUUGAGCUAUUAUUUAAGAAUAUAAGCUCUUUACAGUAUUUACAUAGACCUAUAGAAGUUCUCCAAAAUUUGGUACAAAGGUAGCUUUUUAAAAAUUUUUUUUGAGCUGUAAGAAGGAAUAUAAAGGACAUAGUGGUGCUAGAUUAUUAGAAUAUGUAAGUACUAGAGAUGAUGGGGGAAAAUUUUCAUAUGAGAAGAAAUGUGACGGCAGCAAGAUGAACAGCCCAGUAUGUACUAGAAGUUCUUCCCGUUGCCUAGCUCUGUCUACAGACACUUCAUUUUCCAGAAGUCUUAAAUAAAGGUAUUUAAUAUUCA